GUUGUAAUGCAGUCAGUACGUAGUACGUACGUAGUAGGUCCCUGAUGCAGUAUGAUUUUGGGUAGAUGCCGUAGAUCGUCGUAGCUAGCUAGCUGUAAAUCA
rnacentral:rRNA from 1 species